CUGAUGAAGUCUCGCUCAGCGCUGUCCAAUCAGAUCGUGGAGCUACUACCGCAGCGUGAACAGGGGAGGACGCACCUAUUCCAGUUGCACAAUGCUGAGAAAGGACAGGCGAAAAACUGGACCACCAACGGGAAAUUGGCAAUCCGGGGGAGGCUGUCAAUGGGCUGCCAUGGUUCGACAAUACACAAACAGCGGGGGUUGUGGAUACAGGGGCUGCCAGGGCUCAAAGCGAGCGAGCGAUCCGCGUCGGCGUCCAACCAUGGGAGAGAGCUGUCGGCAAGGUGGCCCAGCUGGCAGUGCCCAGGGCUCCCAGGGGCCCGAGAGCGGCCUGACGUGGAGAGUCAAGGGGGCUGAAGGAUGACAGGGGACAGCUGGAGAAGAGGAAGACUCUAAGGACCAAAGUUGACGGCGAGAGAGCCAUGGAUCAGGAAGAUGAAUACUUGGCCCGGGGAUCAAAGGCAGACUCCAGCCGAUCGCUCUGGCCGCCACAAAGGGGCGUUGGGGGCCGCUGGCAUGGGGCCAGGUGCUGCACAGGGCCACAUAGCGAGGGACAAGCCAUGCAGAUGGGGUCUGCAGACCCUUUGUCCCCUCCACCCCCCCCCCCCCCUCUCAGCCCUCACCCCUGUGUACGAGAGAGAGCAGAUCCGAGAGAGGCGGCCGGCCUGCGCAGCCAGCGGGAAUAGAACCAGCUGAGAAUCUGACACUGUAUGGACGCGGCAAUCAUCCACACUCCUCUGCUCUAGCGUGUCUGAAAGGCCGG
ensembl:lncRNA